rnacentral:rRNA from 1 species
CACCGGAAAAAGAAGAGUGGCGAACGGGUGAGUAACACGUGGGUAACCUNCCCAUCAGAAGGGGAUAACACUUGGAAACAGGUGCUAAUACCGUAUAACAAUCGAAACCGCAUGGUUUUGAUUUGAAAGGCGCUUUCGGGUGUCGCUGAUGGAUGGACCCGCGGUGCAUUAGCUAGUUGGUGAGGUAACGGCUCACCAAGGCUACGAUGCAUAGCCGACCUGAGAGGGUGAUCGGCCACAUUGGGACUGAGACACGGCCCAAACUCCUACGGGAGGCAGCAGUAGGGAAUCUUCGGCAAUGGACGAAAGUCUGACCGAGCAACGCCGCGUG